rnacentral:sRNA from 1 species
AAUUUAUGUGUGGUGCAGUAUCCUAGUUGAUUUGUCUAUUAGGAAGACGAGCCUAAAAAUUCGUUAAAGGGCACAUCUGUGAAGCUUCUUGUGCUUGCCUAUUACGCCCAGUUUUGGGUGGGUGCUGGAAGAGGAGAGAUGGGCCACCAUAAUGGCAUAUGUAAUGGACCCAACUAUCUUUGAGACUCACUUACGUAGUAAGCCUAUACACUCUUUAUGGGUUGAUGGACUUAUUACGAUUUGAGAUUAAACCUAUCGCGCGGUAUAAGGCUGUGGAUAGUGUAGCCUGCCUUGAGUGAAUAUUUGGGAUUAAGGUCUAGAUAAUAGGAGUAGACGUAUGAAUAUUAUUUACUGCUUAUGAAACUAUAUUUGCAAAAAAGUGCUAUGAGUAGACAAAUCUGGAAGAAAAUUCCUAGGCUGUAUAUUAUUAUUGGAUUAAAGUGUGUACUAAGUGGCAAUCAAGUCUUAUAGCUGGAAACACUAUAACUAAUUCUUUAAAGGGGAACCGCAAAUUGGCAACGAGAUGUAGAAUUAGGGGAAAACCUACUUGACCUAAGGCAUAAUAUUUCCAAUAUUAAUUCCACUUUUUUAAUUU